UGUCUGUCUGUCGUCAUGACUACCUCCUCUGGCUCCGUGGGCUCACGCACCUGUUGGCAAUCAGCUCAUCACUCCUCAUCGACCAGACACACCUGCCUUUCAUCAGCUCACCUUCCUGCAGUAUAUCUUCUCCAGUUCUCCAGUCAUUCGUCGCCAGAUUGUUGUUCACCCAUAGCGGAUCUCAUCGCCAACCACGCAACCACCUCUCCUGAUUUACAAGAGGACAUCCCUUCUGAGGACUGGGAAGCAGCAUGAAGCACUAACUGUCAAUAUAUAUCUGAAAUUGCUGCAAUCUAACUGGCUGUGUGGCAGGUGGAGCUGACAGACAGCGUUCUCAGGACAUUUGAUACUGAACAGCAGCCCUGCAGCCUUCUUGCCAGCUGAUUGGAGGAGGCUCUCAUCCCAUUGGACAGUCCGGUACAGCAGCUCCGCCUCCUGAGCCACAACAAACACCAGUCCAGUCAAAGCACACUGGAACACACCUGGACCAGGACACCUGAACCUGCAGGACAUACAACAAGCUCUCAGCCUGCAGGGACCAUAGACAAAGAACUAAUAUUGUUAGAAUGUAGUUUCUGUGUUCAUGUCUUUCCUGUUAAAGUCCGUUUUUGGUUCUGUGUUUCUCUGUGUAGUCUUGUUUAGUUAGUUCUUAGUCCUGUGCUUUAGUUCAUGUCUAAGUGUUUUCCUGAUAUGUGUACUUCUGUGUUUUAUCAUUAUGGUCUGUGUCCUAGUCCUUAGUCUUCUAUUAUUUUAUGUUUUAGAGUAGUCUUGUCUCCUGUUUGCUCCUGCCCGUGCCCUGAUUUUGGCUGACUUUGUGACAUGUUUUGGUGUUUUACUUUGGCAGAUCUGUCCUUGUGUGUUCCUGUGAAACUUUGCUUUCUGUUUAAUUUUGGUACCUUCUGUACCUGGUGUCCUUGUCUAGCUUUGUUUGAUUACCUGAUGUAUCUCAGCUGUGCUUGCCUCCCUGCUCGUUUACCAGUAUGUGUAUAUAUUGUCCUCAGUUACCUUCAGUCUUUGUCACGUCCUUGCGUCUAGUGUUCUUGCCUGUUCCUUUGUUUCAUGGAUCUCUUCCUUGCAUUUGGAUUGUUUUCCCUGCCCUGUUCUGGAUUUUACUCUGCCUGUUUGGAGAUGCCUUUGUUUGGACCUUUUGCCUGCUGUGCUCAUGAGUAAGCCUGUUUUUGCUGAAUAAAUCUUUUGUUUGAACUGCA